rnacentral:ncRNA from 1 species
AAAAGGAACGCGGGAGAGGAGGGAAAAUUGACCGACUAUAUCAAACCGAUACAGGUGAAAAGUAGCGUACACUAGGGCGCUUGAAAGAACUACGUCGAAGAGACUCGGGCAAUAUGACCUCGUAACUUUGGAUAGCGGCGCUCUCCUAUAUUUUGAUUAGGAAAGCAAGAUAUAUUUGUGGUAGCACUGUUAUUAAAAACAUAAAAUUUUGCUAAGUGGUAACACGAUGUAUAGUUCGACACCUGGACAAUGCUGGAAGGUCAGAUGAAGAAGUGUCAUAAGCUUUGAAUGGAAGACCCCGCACACGGCGGUAGUAACUUUAACUAUCCUAAGAUGAAGAAAUUUCUUAUAGCAUAAGUAGUAACCUGCACGAAUGGUGUAAUAAGUGCCCUGUUGUCUUCUAUAAGGACUCCGUGAAAUU